AUACGUAGGGAGCGAGCGUUGUCCGGAUUUACUGGGCGUAAAGGGCGCGUAGGCGGGUAAAUAAGUCAGAUGUGAAAACUAUGGGCUCAACCCAUAGCCUGCAUUUGAAACUGUAUAUCUUGAGGGCAGGAGAGGAAAGUGGAAUUCCUAGUGUAGCGGUGAAAUGCGUAGAUAUUAGGAGGAACACCAGUGGCGAAGGCGGCUAUCUGGACAGUAACAGACGCUGAGGCGGGAAAGCGUGGGGAGCAAACAGGAUUAGAUCCCCUGGUAGUCCACGCCGUAAACGAUGAAUACUAGGUGUAGGGGGUAUCGACUCCCUCUGUGCCGCAGUUAACACAAUAAGUAUUCCGCCUGGGGAGCACGGCCGCAAGGUUGAAACUCAAAGGAAUUGACGGGG
rnacentral:rRNA from 1 species